rnacentral:rRNA from 1 species
AACGAACGUUAGCGGCGCGCUUAACACAUGCAAGUCGAACGAGAAAGGGCUUCGGCCCCGGUACAGUGGCGCACGGGUGAGUAACACGUGGGUAAUCUACCCUCGAGCGGGGGAUAACGUUCCGAAAGGAGCGCUAAUACCGCAUAAGACCACGCUCUCGAAAGGGAGCGAGGUAAAAGUAGGCCUCUGAAUUCACGCUUACACUCGAGGAUGAGCCCGCGGCCCAUCAUGGUAGUUGGUAGGGUAAUGGCCUACCAAGCCGAAGACGGGUAGCUGGUCUUAGAGGAUGAUCAGCCACACUGGAACUGAGACACGGUCCAGACUCCUACGGGAGGCAGCAGUGGGGAAUCUUGCGCAAUGGGCGAAAGCCUGACGCAGCGACGCCGCGUGGGUGAUGAAGGCCUUCGGGUCGUAAAGACUCUGUGGGGAGAGACGAAUAAGACGUGGCUAAUAUCCACGGCGAUGACGGUAUCUCCUUAGCAAGCACCGGCUAACU